GUAUCACAAUACUAUUUGAAUGUUGGGGAGUUUGCAUUUUUGAGCUAACCAAGAGCCAAGAUCCAUGUUUUAAAGUGUCAAUAAUUCCAAUUUCACAAGAUAAAUGUUCGAGUUACAAGAUAGAGAAUAUGUUGACCUUACGAAAAUCCAAGACUGAGAUGUAUUGAUCUUUUUCCAUCAAAGGUAAAUAAUAGUUUAAUUACUUUAAAAUCUUCCAAGAUAUUUGAAUAUUGUGUAGGGUUCAUUCUAAAUUUCAUGUGGUUUUUUUGUCAUGCCAUUCACAAAUGGAGCUAUGCAAGAAGCCAGCAAAGUUCACGUCCGUAAAUCCUUUUUUCACGCUCAAAAUAAGGGCAACAUAGGGGAGAUUCAGACCGCGUGUACCACUUGAUUUUGUGAGAGAGUACUUCCACAAGAAACAGGUGACGUUACAGUUUGGGAAUAAAUCAUGGCGGGUAAAACUGGUUGGUGCUGUUCCAACAAAGCUGUCUCAAGGUUGGAGCCCAUUUGCAAAAGAAUGUAAGUUGCAACCUGGAAAUGUUUGCGUCUUUGAGUUAACAAACGAAGAAGAUUUAGUACUUGAUGUUCAUAUUUUUAGGGGACAAUCUAGAGAAUUCAUUUGAAGCCUUUAUUGUAAAAUUGCCCAUUCAUUUUAGUUUUUAAUCCUCAAACUUGUAUACAGAACCUGAACACGCUAUCAUGUUUGCAAUGCUAUUAUUAGGUUUGUGGACA